CCCCUCACAUCCCUGGGGCUCUGUCUGCAACUUCAGAUGUGAUGAGGGUUACGAUCACCAGGGGGCCCCAAACAUGCAGUGUUCACGGUCAGGGGAGUGGAGCGCUGAAACACCUACCUGCACAGCCACACCUGAGCCUCCAUUGAACUGCACUAUCCUAGGCCUGGCAGCAGGGGCGCUGUGUCAUUAUUUGUCCUGUUUCUGGCCGCGUGGCUCUGCAAACGAAUCAGACAGAAAGCUAACAAGUUUGAUCUGAACAGCACCUCAGACAUUGAGGAACCUUUACAGACCUACAGGAACAGCAUCGAAAGCCUGAUAUAGAGACCAACAACAAUAACAGCAGGAACAACAGCAGGAACAACAGCAGGAACAACAGCAGGAACAGCAGCAGGAACAGCAGCAGGAACAGCAGCAGGAACAGCAGCAGGAACAACAGCAGGAACAAC